CCCGGAUGAUCUGGGUAGAUUCAAUGUAGUCACAAGGUCCUUGACAGAGGAAGAGGGGACAGAAGAGUCAAUGUCAGAGUGAUGCCACCGGAGGAAAAAAACCUAAGUGGUCCUAGCUGGCUUGAAGAAGAAGAAGGUCCCCGAGCCAAGGAAACACAGAUGGCCUGUAGGUAGCUGGGAUAGGCCAGAAAACAGACUCUUUCUGAGCCUUCAGAAAUAAACAUCUGUGCUUGAAUUUAGCCCAGUGAGACCUGUGAAGAACUUCCAAUCUACGGAACUGUAAGAAAACUUUAUGUUGUUUCAAGUUGCAAAACUUGUGAUAAUUUGUUCCAGGAGUAUUAGAAAUGAAUACAAAGGCUCACUGGAUUUAACUCAGACAGGCUGGGGAAAUACAGAUAAACAAAAACACCUGAGGAGGGAUUCUUUUCCUUUCUUCUGACUUUUUUUUUUUUUUUCUUUUGAGAAAAGGCAGAGUGGGUCUCUGGAAUGUCCCACAGAGAGGCUUGAGAAGGCUGAGUGUUCAAGGCCCACAAGCAAGGGCUGUGGGUUCCUGUCCUUCUGCCUUUUGGUAGGGUGAGCCAGGAAGGCAGCCCCAUCAGUGGAAGAUGGCUUGGAUCCACUGGGACCUUCUGCAUAUUCAUGUGUUCAACGUUUAUCAAGUGCCUGCUGAAUACCAGCAGUGUGCUGGGGUACUAAGAUGAACAGCAUCCUUGGGACUUGUCAUUUAAUGGGGAGAGAGGCCAGCACACUACACUUAAGGUAGCCUGCCUCAGUAACAGCAACAACAAUAACGACCAGAGGUGAAAGAACCUAGGAGGCCUUAGGAAUUGGGUUUUGAUGGGUGAGUGAAAAGCCAGUGCCAUUCACUGCAAGGGAAAUACAGGGAAGAAGACUCCCAGUCAUUUGGAAUGCCUUAGAAACUGCUGGACUUCUACGUGAAACUAAAUGGGCCACCUUCUCUGCAACUUCUCCAGGAGCUACCUGCCUACACCAUUGGGUCCUGCUUACAGGGUGGAGCCUGGCAAACUCUCAAGAGGUCUCUGGUCCAAAACCACACCUGGCCUCGCAUCCUUCUAAUGAUAAUCCCCACAGAGUUCCAGGUGUUCAGCCCAGUGACUGAUUACAAGCCCUGCCGAGUUCAGAGGGACAAGAUGGAGGCUAUAUAUAAACCCGACAAAGUUUCAAAAGGUAAAAAGACGCAUGACCGAUUAUGAAAGCUUACAUUGCUCCAGGAGAGGGCUGAAGGUUUUAUUUCUGCCCUGGCGGAUACCUGGCCUUUGUUCCUUCUUGGAAGGCAGGGAGGUGCUGUGGCCACAGUUCCCCAUCUGUGAAAUGGGGUGAGAUUAUCAACCCAGUGGGAAUUUGUCUGUGUGAGGCACCUUUAGAAGGCCCCAGGGUCCAACA
rnacentral:lncRNA from 1 species